rnacentral:tRNA from 1 species
GCCGACUUAGCUUAGCUGGUAGAGCAACGCACUCGUAACGCGUAGGUCGAAGGUUCGAAUCCUUUAGUCGGCACCA